AUUUAUUUGGUUUGCCUAGACCCGUUUCUGGACUUUUUUUUUCUGUUUUUGAACACUCUUUGGGACCUUUUCUGUGAGAUGAUCUGUAAUGUUUCAUGUUUGCUUUUUUUUUUUUAUUUUACAUUUUUGACUGUCUCUGAAUCUGUUUGUGAUUUAUGAGGCUGUGUUCUGAAUAAACGGGAAUCAUGGAUUCACACCCAUCUGGAGAGCCUUCAUUACAUGGAGAUAUUAAGCACAUAGGUAUGUCUGGUUGGAAACCUAAGAGGUGAAAUGCAGUCUUUGUCACCACAAGAUAAAGCUCAAAGUCAGCGACUGCUCGGACUGCUAUGAAAGGUAAGUCACGUUACGCUUUUCUAAUGAGGUGUCAAUGGUCUAUCCACAGGGGACGACAAGUAAAGAGAUCCGUCAGGCACGACUCUGUGUCUGUCAUUCCAAAGUGUAUCUCUUCAAAUGGAUGGAAUUUGUGUACAGGGUUUCUCAAGAUCUGCGUUUACACCAAAUCGACAUGAUUGCUGAUGAAAUAGCAGGGAGUUCAGCAACUUUGUCAAAAAUGGCCAAAAAGGUGAGAGAGGCUUGUGAUGUCAAUGGAGAA